rnacentral:rRNA from 1 species
UACGAAGGGGGCUAGCGUUGCUCGGAAUCACUGGGCGUAAAGGGUGCGUAGGCGGGUCUUUAAGUCAGGGGGUGAAAUCCUGGAGCUCAACUCCAGAACUGCCUUUGAUACUGAGGAUCUUGAGUUCGGGAGAGGUGAGUGGAACUGCGAGUGUAGAGGUGAAAAUUCGUAGAUAUUCGCAAGAACACCAGUGGCGAAGGCGGCUCACUGGCCCGAUACUGACGCUGAGGCACGAAAGCGUGGGGAGCAAACAGG